AACUUGUUUAAUUUCACAAAAUCUUUUUGUGGGUAGAGAUUAUUUUCUGUUUAGAUCUUCAAUUUUAAAUUCAAGUAUUUUAUUUUCGUUAUUAGAAGAAAAGAUGGGGUCUUAAUUCCAACAUUUCAAAUAUCCAUAUACUCCCAACGUCCAUAAAAAAUGGUUCAUUUUUUACUAUUUUGGGAUGUACACAAAAAUUAGUUUAUUUCCACUUUUGAAAACUAUUUAUCACAUAAUGGAUCAUAUUCUCCACUCACAAUACAGUUCAUUAUCAUUAUAAACACUAUUUUUUAAGUGUGACCAUUUCUCCACUCAUAAUACAAUAACUAUUUUUAUUAAAAUUCGUAUUGUCUCUUAUUAGAACUAUUUUUUAUGGACGUAUAGAGUAUUAGAAUAAAAUAAUAGUUUAACGGUAAUAUUUCACGACCAUAUUUUUUCUAUCCCGCAUAUAUUUUCUUUCUCUCAUGCUCUCUCUCGUGAUUCAUUCAAAUUGAAAAUUCUCAAUAUAUAAACUUUUUUUCAUCAACAUUUUCUCCCGGGAGAACUCUCUUCAAUUCCCCCCAAAAAUACACCAUGGGUUUGGGGAAAUUCCCCAUCAAUGUCAGUGAAGUCCUCACAGGUCGCCGCUGCAGUAUCCCUUAAAAGCCACAGAGGCAGAUGCAAUGCCCAAUCGAGCAAUACGAUAAAUUAGUUGUAGAAAUCCUCUCCUUCUCGAUUUUGCCAUUCGGCCGAGCAAAACGCGGGGACGAAGAAGGCCGAAUCGUUCAAACUUGAGUGCUCCGAGGUUGGGAAGAAGGUGGAGCGUAUCCGCCAGAUGUUUCGCUCGCUCCCUCGCAAUCUCUCUCAUGCUUAGGUCUGCUAUCAACAUUGAAGGUUGCCAUCAUCGGACCGCCGCCGGGGAUCUUCAACAGAGGCUAUAUGGACGGAAGUCUUAGAGUUAGAAGAUUAAUUCGUCAUCGCUUCGCUGCUAACGUCAACUUAUUUUAGGCAUAAAGACGAAUUAAUAUAAGAAGAUUUAAGUAAUUGAUGCGGAGAAGGUCUUGGUGGACGUCGCCACAAGUUAUUUCAUUGAGAAAAUUAUGGUAGAAGGCAAAGAUUAUUACCUUAAAAUUGUGAAAACACUUCUUAAAAUAAAAAUAAAAACAUUUUUCAAUGUACGAAUUUUAUGUAGAACACGUAUGAAUUCAUCCAACAGGGUUACGAAUCAACCGUAGAUCUUGAUGAUCUAAGGGCUGAAAAUUGUUUA